UUGCAAACAGCUGAAGAGACAACCUGCUUGAUAUGAUUCGUCAUUCUUUGGGACGAACAGGUAGUCUCUGGGUUGCAAACGAGUUCCAUUUUUGAGUCUGUUCGCAAAUCACUUUGCAUAAAAUUCGGAGCACGAUAUAAAAUAGAUAUUCGGAGGCUGGUGCUCUGCAGUGCCAACCUCAGGGGACGCAGUGUGCAGUCAGUCAUGGAGCAUGCCCUGAAAUGUUGGGGAACCUGGCCACGAUGAAUGCUGGGAAAAGAUGCCAGUGAGCCGCAGGUGCCAGUCUCUGACAUAUUGGAUACAUUUGGUUUGGUGAUCCACAACUAUACAAAAGCUCAUGAUCCACAAUGAUCAGCCCAUCCGCCUUCUCCUUUGCUAGUGUGUAUCUGCUGUAUAUUAAGGAGUUCUAUUGGCUUCUACUGCAUUGCAAAUAGGAACUGCAUUUUGUAGAUCUUUGAAAUCUACAGCAUUCUAUUUUUUGAUGAGUUUUUUACAGAUCUGCUACCUAUUGAUCUCACCAAGGCCUCAGUUACACAAGGUUUCAAAGGAUAUAACGGGGAUUUACAGUCAUGCUUCCUUGUGGAUGGGGAUGUGGCUAGUUGAUCUUGCCCACCUCUUUAACAUAGGCACAGGAAGCUUGUGUUUGUUUUGAGCGGACGAGACUGCCGGCAUCCUCAGACUUUACUGGAAGACAAGGUGGUCCCGAAACAGGAGAAAUCCAUUAGAAAGAACUGAUCUCUAAUGUAUUUCCAAGGCAACAAUUGGUCCCAUUGUUGUGACAGCUUACAGGAAGAUACUGAGAUAACAAGGUGUACAGCUGA